AAUAGUGGAAUCGAUCCCCAUACCGAGCAUACUGAUGCUAUAAUAGGAUGUGACAUAGAUGUCUUAGAUGGAACAUACUUUGAUUUGAUUAAUGGGGCUCGAAAGGAUAAGAAAUCAGGCUGAUUGUAUCUGAUCCUGCUGAUUUUGAUUCUGCUGCGUUAGAAUGGACAUAACUCUCUCAUCAAGAGUCAGAAUCAUUUAUAAGACCCCA
rnacentral:lncRNA from 1 species